AACGAACGCUGGCGGCACGCCUAACACAUGCAAGUCGAAUGAUAAGCCACCUUCGGGUGGUGGACAGUGGCGGACGGGUGAGUAACGCGUGGGCACCUGCCUAUUAGUACGGAACAACAGUUGGAAACGACUGCUAAUACCGUAUACGCCCUUUUGGGGAAAGAUUUAUCGCUAAUAGAUGGGCCCGCGUUAGAUUAGCUAGAUGGUAAGGUAAUGGCUUACCAUGGCGACGAUCUAUAGCUGGUUUGAGAGGAUGAUCAGCCACACUGGGACUGAGACACGGCCCAG
rnacentral:rRNA from 1 species